AGAUGAACGCUGGCGGCAGGCUUAACACAUGCAAGUCGAGCGGGGGAAGUUGCUUCGGUAACUGACCUAGCGGCGGACGGGUGAGUAAUACUUAGGAAUCUGCCUAUUAAUGGGGGACAACAUCUCGAAAGGGAUGCUAAUACCGCAUACGCCCUACGGGGGAAAGCAGGGGAUCACUUGUGACCUUGCGUUAAUAGAUGAGCCUAAGUCGGAUUAGCUAGUUGGUGGGGUAAAGGCCUACCAAGGCGACGAUCUGUAGCGGGUCUGAGAGGAUGAUCCGCCACACUGGGACUGAGACACGGCCCAGACUCCUACGGGAGGCAGCAGUGGGGAAUAUUGGACAAUGGGGGGAACCCUGAUCCAGCCAUGCCGCGUGUGUGAAGAAGGCCUUAUGGUUGUAAAGCACUUUAAGCGAGGAGGAGGCUCUUCUAGUUAAUACCUAGGAUGAGUGGACGUUACUCGCAGAAUAAGCACCGGCUAACUCUGUGCCAGCAGCCGCGGUAAUACAGAGGGUGCGAGCGUUAAUCGGAUUUACUGGGCGUAAAGCGUGCGUAGGCGGCUUUUUAAGUCGGAUGUGAAAUCCCCGAGCUUAACUUGGGAAUUGCAUUCGAUACUGGGAAGCUAGAGUAUGGGAGAGGAUGGUAGAAUUCCAGGUGUAGCGGUGAAAUGCGUAGAGAUCUGGAGGAAUACCGAUGGCGAAGGCAGCCAUCUGGCCUAAUACUGACGCUGAGGUACGAAAGCAUGGGGAGCAAACAGGAUUAGAUACCCUGGUAGUCCAUGCCGUAAACGAUGUCUACUAGCCGUUGGGGCCUUUGAGGCUUUAGUGGCGCAGCUAACGCGAUAAGUAG
rnacentral:rRNA from 1 species